CAGACCUAAUAUUUUCAGCUUCUACACCAAAAAUUAAAUUUAAUCCAACAUCGAGGUCGCAAUCUUUAUCUUCGAUAAGAACUCUCUGAUAAUAUCACGCUGUUAUCCCUAAGGUAAUUUAAUCUUAUAAUUAUCAACUAUAGAUCAACAUAUACAUAAAUUAAUGAUUUACAAUAAAAAAAGUUAAAUUAAUUUUUCAAUCACCCCAAUUAAAUAAUUAAAAAAAUUAUAAAUUUUUAUACUAAAAAAAAUUAAAAUUUUCAAAUAUAAAACUCUAUAGGGUCUUCUCGUCUUUUAACUAAAUUUUAGCUUUUUAACUAAAAAAUAAAUUUUUAAUUAUUUAAUCAGAGACAGAAUUUUUCUUAUCCAACCAUUCAUUCCAGCUUCUAAUUAAGAAACUAAUGAUUAUGCUACCUUAGCACGGUCAAAAUACCGCGGCCAUUUAAAUAUUCAGAGGGCAGGUUA
rnacentral:rRNA from 1 species